CUUCCGACGGGUCCCCCGGGUCAAGACGCGACCGGGGAUCGUAAGGGACCGAAACUGCGUACAAUCUAGACGCGCUCCAGCUGUGGCGCCUGGGGAGGGCCGCUGGGCCUCGGACAGUCUGGGGUCUCCUGAGGUGAGGACAGCAGACGCCAACCUCCUCCCACCCUCGCGAGGGUCUUAGGCUCCGCCCGCGGGUCGGGAAAUCGCGCCGCGGCGCCCUCUAUAGGCUCCCGGCCACUGGGGAAUCUUGGCGACUCACUGCGAAGACACGUCGAAGCGGACAUCCCGGUCCUCCCAAAGCGCAUCCAGCACCGACAUGGUGACCGCGGCGGGGAAGGCCUAACGGCGUCUCGCCGGCUCCAAGACAACGGGCCGCCUCUGGCACGACGUCUACGGCGGGCGCCGAGACCCAAACUUCCUCCAGGUAGUGUGCGCGCUUUCCCGGCCCUGUGGUGUAGUUAAGCGGAUUUGAGGCUCCAGGCAGGUUUCCGUGCCUCAGAGAAGCAGAACUGGCCCUGGCGCAGGAGCGGGUGCUUGACUUCUGAGUGACCUUCCGCACCUCCAGACUCGCCUUCUUAAGCCGUUCCUCCCCACCCACCCCCUUCCGUUCCUCUCCCUACACUGUCGGGAAAUUUAGCCUUAGGGACUUCCCAGGCGGUUCACUGGUUAGGACUCCGCGCUUCCACUACUUGUGGCCUUGGUUCCAUCCCUGGUGGGCCAACUAAGAUUCCGCAAGCCGCGUGGUGCGGUCUGAAAAAAGAAAGAGAGAAAUGUAGACUUAAAACUCGAAAUUCCUCGUCUGGCUCUGCCUCCUCCGGCCCAGCCCACCUCAUGCCGUCCUCGCGCCUUCUGCUUGCUCUCCAACUAGGCAGGGCUCAGCACCUUUGGAGGGCGCCCCCUUUCUCUGUCUAAACUCUCGUUCUCCAGAUCUCUACCUGGCCCGUCCUUUGUCACUUCAGCCUCAGCUCAAAAGUGAACUAAAGCGGUCCUUAACCUUUCUUCUCUCGCUCUGCUGUGAGUACCUUGAGGACAGAGUUCCCUUUGAACCCACGCGAGCACAGAGUAGGCAUUCGUCUCCCUUUGAGUGUACAGAGGAGUUUUUUAGAAGCCACAUGAUGUGAAAUUGAAUGUGAAAGAGAUAUGAGAAAACAGCUGUCUUAAUAUCAAGAUGGAUGUUAAAAAAGAUUUGCAAAAAGGCUGGAUCUCAGCUGACUGGAGCAAGAGAGACUCUCCUGCUUGCCUUGAAGAAGCCACCUGCUAUGAUACCGCCUUUAAGGCCAGCGGUCUCACGUCCUAUAGGUGCAAGGAGCUGAAAUCUGCCAACAACCUGAAUGAGCUUGGAAGCAGAUCCUUCCCCAGUAAAACUUCUGAUGAGGCCUUAGCCCCAGGAAGUAUCUGGAUUGCAGCCUGGUUGUGACCCUAAGCAGAAAACCCAGUGUCCAAGUUAUGAGAGAGCCACAUGUCUAGGAACUGAGGGCAGCCUUUAAGAGCUGAGAGCCAGCAAGAAAACGAUAACUCCAGUCAUCCAACCACAAGGAACCAAUUCUGCUAAGGAACCUGAAUGAGCCUGGAAGAGGACCCCAAACCUCAGAUGAGAUCACAUCCCUGCAGACACCUUGAUUCCAGGGCUUCCCUGGUGGCACAGUGGUUAAGAAUCCGCCUGCCAGUGCAGG